UACAGAGGCCUCAAGCGUUAUCCGGAAUCAUUGGGCGUAAAGCGUACCGAUAGGUGGUUUAGAAAGUCAGAAGUGAAAUCUCAAGGCUCAACUUUGAGACUGUCUUUUGAAACUUCUAAACUAGAGGGGCAAAGAGGAAGCUGGAACGAACGGUGUAGUAGUGAAAUGCGUUGAUAUCGUUCGGAACACCAAUAGCGUAGGCAGGCUUCUGGGUGCCACCUGACACUGCUAGGACGAAAGCGUGGGGAGCGAAUGGG
rnacentral:rRNA from 1 species